CUGCUGCCUUCCGUAGGAGUUUGGGCCGUGUCUCAGUCCCAAUGUGGCCGUUCACCCUCUCAGGCCGGCUACUGAUCGUCGCUUUGGUGGGCCGUUACCCCACCAACUGGCUAAUCAGACGCGGAUCCAUCGUAUACCACCGGAGUUUUUCACACUGUUCCAUGCGGAACCGUGCGCUUAUGCGGUAUUAGCACCUAUUUCUAAGUGUUAUCCCCCUGUAUACGGCAGGUUAUCCACGCGUUACUCACCCGUCCGCCACUAAU
rnacentral:rRNA from 1 species